rnacentral:sRNA from 1 species
CCACCCGCGUAGGUUGGUCUACUGUUUCUUCACUAGCGGCUUUGGUCCUGAGAUCUUCCACCUUAGAAGCUUCGAACACAAAUCUCUUUGUAAUGCUGCUUCUCUUGCCGGCUUGUUCGUCCGCAGGUAGCUUA